AGCAGCCGCGGUAAUUCCAGCUCCAAUAGCGUAUAUUAAAGUUGUUGCAGUUAAAAAGCUCGUAGUUGAAUUUCGGGAUCAAUACGUCGGUCGUGCUUCGGUAUGUACUGGCGUCAUUGGUUUCUCCCUUCUGACAAACCAUGAUGUCAUUAAUUUGGUGUUAUGGGAAAUCAGGACUGUUACUUUGAAAAAAUUAGAGUGUUUAAAGCAGGCUCACGCUUGAAUACAUUAGCAUGGAAUAAUGAAAUAGGACGUUCGAUCCUAUUUUGUUGGUUUCUAGGAUUGACGUAAUGAUUAAUAGGGAUAGUUGGGGGCAUUAGUAUUCAAUUGUCAGAGGUGAAAUUCUUGGAUUUAUUGAAGACUAACUACUGCGAAAGCAUUUGCCAAGGAUGUUUUCAUUAAUCAAGAACGAAAGUUAGGGGAUCGAAGACGAUCAGAUACCGUCGUAGUCUUAACCAUAAACUAUGCCGACUAGGGAUCGGAUGAUGUUAAUUUUUUAAUGACUCAUUCGGCGCCUUACG
rnacentral:rRNA from 1 species